AAGAAUCAAAACUUAUUUUGACCAAAGAAUUGGAAGAGACCCAAAAAACUCUGGAAAACGAGACACUAGCCUCCAACCAAACGACUCAAAGCUUAGCUGAAAAAAUGGCUUCACUGAAUUUAAAAAUUAAGUGUGUCAGUAGGUCGACUGGUGAGGCACCAAUCGGCGCAAACAAAAAGGGGAAUUGAUUUAUGUAUCUUGAUAGACAUGCAGUCGCUUGUAUUGGUAACGAAUUCCUCCAACAUUUUCAUUUCAUCAGCAGUGGUGAGAACAAUGCCUAUUACAGUUACACUUCUUGUCACUAUACUUUAUAACCUAAGCUAGCUGUGUGGCUUGAAUGUAGGAAGAUUAUCUUUUACUGUAUUAAAUACAGUGGCCUAUGCUUCAGCUUGCUUGUUU